AACGAACGCUGGCGGCAUGCCUAACACAUGCAAGUCGAACGAGACCUUCGGGUCUAGUGGCGCACGGGUGCGUAACGCGUGGGAACCUGCCCUUAGGUUCGGAAUAACUCCCCGAAAGGGGUGCUAAUACCGGAUAAUGUCUUCGGACCAAAGAUUUAUCGCCUUUGGAUGGGCCCGCGUUGGAUUAGCUAGUUGGUAGGGUAAAAGCCUACCAAGGCGACGUUCCAUAGCUGGUCUGAGAGGAUGAUCAGCCACACUGGGACUGAGACACGGCCCAGACUCCUACAGGAGGCAGCAGUGGGGAAUAUUGGACAAUGGGCGAAAGCCUGAUCCAGCAAUGCCGCGUGAGUGAUGAAGGCCUUAGGGUUGUAAAGCUCUUUUACCCGGGAUGAUAAUGACAGUACCGGGAGAAUAAGCGCCGGCUAACUCCGUG
rnacentral:rRNA from 1 species